rnacentral:misc_RNA from 1 species
GGAAAAUAUUCUCCGAAUCACCUCGUGCCAGAUGAACAUAUAUGUGAACGAUCUGCUUAAGCAACUCUUUCGGACGGAAUUCAUACUUUUCAGGGUCUUUCAGACUAAGAGAUCUUCGCUGAGGACCAACAAGUUGCAGGAGAAAAUAAUUAAGCAUGCUGGCCACCCUUUCAACCAUCUCUGGAAGUAGGAAAGGAGCCGUGAUCUGCUCAGAAGUAAAUGCCAGCAUACUCACGUCCUCAUUUGCUAAUUUCAUAUCAAUUCGGAUGAUAUUUUCUUGGGAGUGAAACAGCCGAGUUCUC